UACGGGGGGAGCAAGCGUUGUUCGGAUUUACUGGGCGUAAAGGGCGCGUAGGCGGCCUUGUAAGUCCUGUGUGAAAUCCCCCGGCUCAACUGGGGAACUGCACAGGAGACUGCUUGGCUUGAGUUCGGGAGAGGGAAGCGGAAUUCCGGGUGUAGCGGUGAAAUGCGCAGAUAUCAGGAGGAACACCAAUGGCGAAGGCAGCUCGCUGGGACGUGACUGACGCUGAGACGCGAAAGCGUGGGGAGCAAACAGG
rnacentral:rRNA from 1 species